rnacentral:rRNA from 1 species
GACGAACGCUGGCGGCGCGCUUAACACAUGCAAGUCGAGCGAGAACCAGCCCUUCGGGGCUGGGGAGAGCGGCGAACGGGUGAGUAACACGUGGGUAAUCAACCCUCGGUACUGGGAUAGCCCGGGGAAACCCGGAUUAAUACCGGAUGGCCCUUCGAAUCCUCGGAUGCGAAGGAAAAGGUAGCUUCGGCCUCCGACCGAGGACGAGCCCGCGGCGGAUUAGCUUGUUGGUGGGGUAACGGCCUACCAAGGCGACGAUCCGUAGCUGGUCUGAGAGGACGAUCAGCCACACUGGGACUGAGACACGGCCCAGACUUCUACGGAAGGCAGCAGUGGGGAAUCUUGCGCUAAUGCGGGAAACCGUGACGCAGCGACGCCGCGUGGGGGAAGAAGGCCUUCGGGUUGUAAACCUCUUUCAGGAGGGACGAAGCUACUCGGGUUAAUAGCCCAGAGGGUGGCGGUACCUCCAGAAGAAGCCCCGGCUAACUACGUGCCAGCCGCCGCAGUAA